GCCACUUUAGCUCAGUUGGUAGAGCAACGCAUUCGUAAUGCGUAGGUCGACGGUUCGAGUCCGUCAUGUGGCU
rnacentral:tRNA from 2 species